ensembl:lncRNA
AAGGACUUCUACAUUGUGGUUUUAUCUCUGACUUCAUCAUGAGGUUUCUGGUUUCACAGCCUCUGCUGGUGUUCAUAUCAGUCCUGUCACUGACCAGAGCACAAUCAACAUCUGCACCAAUAACAUUAUCAACAGAAGAAACCACUACAGAAACUACAUCAGUCACACCAGAAACUACAACAACACCUGCACCAACAACAACAUUGACAGAAACCACUAUAUUAGCAACGACAUCAUUCACGGCAGAAACUACAACAGCUGUAUCAUCACCACCACUACCAACAACAACAACAUUAGAAACCACUACAGAAACUACAUCAGUCACACCAGGUAAUAAAACUGCAAGUGAUUAAAAGAAAAUCAUCAUACGGCUAUGCUGCAUUUUUUGUUUGUUUUCAUUUUUUCUAAUGUAGUUUA